rnacentral:rRNA from 1 species
AGCAGCCCAAGUGGUGAUCAUUAUUAUUGGGUCUAAAACGUCCGUAGUCGGCUUAGUAAAUUCUUGGGUAAAUUGUGAAGCUUAACUUCACGAAUUCCGAGGAGACUGCUAGGCUUGGGACCGGGGGAGGUCGGAGGUACUUCGGGGGUAGGGGUGAAAUCCUGUAAUCCUCGAGGGACCACCAGUGGCGAAGGCGUCUGACCAAAACGGGUCCGACGACAAGGGACGAAGCCUAGGGGCGCAAACGG